rnacentral:rRNA from 1 species
UACGUAGGGUGCGAGCGUUGUCCGGAAUUAUUGGGCGUAAAGAGCUCGUAGGCGGUCUGUCGCGUCGGUCGUGAAAACUUGGGGCUUAACCCUGAGCUUGCGGUCGAUACGGGCAUGACUGGAGUUCGGCAGGGGAGACUGGAAUUCCUGGUGUAGCGGUGAAAUGCGCAGAUAUCAGGAGGAACACCGGUGGCGAAGGCGGGUCUCUGGGCCGAUACCGACGCUGAGGAGCGAAAGCGUGGGGAGCAAACAGG